rnacentral:rRNA from 1 species
UACGAAGGGUGCAAACGUUGCUCGGAAUUAUUGGGCGUAAAGCGCACGUAGGCGGCUUUGUAAGUUGGAUGUGAAAGCCCUCGGCUCAACCAAGGAAGUGCAUCCAAAACUACAGAGCUUGAGUACUUAAGAGGAUCGCGGAAUUCCCGGUGUAGAGGUGAAAUGCGUAGAUAUCUGGAGGAACACCGGUGGCGAAGGCGGCAUCCUGGACCGGCAUUGACGCUGAUGAGCGAAAGCCAGGGGAGCAAACGGG